CUGUGACAGUGGGGGCGAUAAUGACCUUCAGUUAGAAACCUGCCCACAGACAGAAAGCAACAUUCUAUGACUGCCCUGGCUUCUCAAGGAUCAUUCACUGCAGCACUGCCCGAAGCAGGCAGACAAAAUCCUACAGUGUCAGGCUCGUGAGUGUCAGUUUACAGGGGCAAGAUCUGCCUGAGAAGCUGCUGUUCCACCAGGAGACUGGUGGGUGCUGGACUCAGGAAAUCUCAUGGGAGCUGCAAAUGCGAACACAAUCCCUGCUCGAUGCACAGACAUUCAGUCAUAUAGGACAGUACAGCAGGCUGUCAGGAGCCGGGAGCCAAACAACCGGGCGCUCAACACCAUGCCCCACAACACCAGAGCCUGAGCACACCCUCCUGCUCCGUUCCGGAAGGACCAGAUUCCCACAGCCCCCUGGGAGCCCACAGCGGUGGCUUUCAUCAGUGAGUCUGCCCUGCAGGCCUUGUCUCUCCACUGACAUGGUCCCAGGUCUCUGCCCAUACACACUUCUGAUUCCUACCUCUAUGCAUUUACAUAAGACAUCUGCCCGUGGAGACUAUUUCUGAUUCAAUACUCUCAAUAAUCAUCUGAAGACCUCGGAGUACCCCUUGCCCCACUCCCUGCAUGGAAAUGGGCCACAGUACGUCUUUCUAGGAGCCCUUGUGCUCCGA